AUGGCGCAGCAGGGGCAGGGCGCGGCGACGUCGCUGCCGCCGGGGUUCCGGUUCCACCCGACGGACGAGGAGCUCAUCCUGCACUACCUCCGCAACCGCGCCGCCGCCGCGCCGUGCCCGGUCCCCAUCAUCGCCGACGUUGACAUCUACAAGUUCGAUCCAUGGGACCUCCCUUCCCAGGCGGUGUACGGCGACUGCGAGUGGUACUUCUUCAGCCCGCGGGACCGCAAGUACCCCAACGGCAUCCGCCCCAACCGCGCCGCCGGCUCCGGCUACUGGAAGGCCACCGGCACCGACAAGCCCAUCCAUGACGCCGCCACCGGCCAGGGCGUCGGCGUCAAGAAGGCGCUCGUCUUCUACAAGGGCCGCCCGCCCAAGGGCACCAAGACGGCCUGGAUCAUGCACGAGUACCGCCUCGCCGCCGACCCCCUCGCCGCCGCCGUCAACACCUACAAGCCCAUCAAGUUCCGCAACGUCUCCAUGAGGCUCGAUGACUGGGUGCUCUGCCGGAUCUACAAGAAGACAGGCCUGGCGUCGCCGAUGGUGCCGCCACUCGCCGACUACGACCACAUGGCCGACCACGACGACCUCUCCAGCGGCGGCGCCUUCACCUAUGCCACCUGCAGACCCCUGAUCAAGCAGCAGAAUCACCAGCAGCCGCACGCCGGGAGGCUCCCGACGUUCCCGUCCAUCUCCGAGCUGUUCGACGACUACCCGUUCGCGCAGAACUUGGACACCUACGUCGAGCACGGCGCCACCCACCACCUCGCCGUCCACCCCUCCCUGAACCAGCUCCUCCCCGUCGGCGACACUAGGCACGUAGUGGAGCCGUCGUACUACGCGCCGUCGACGUCGUCUCCAGACGCUAGCGGCGGGAGCGCCAGGAAACGCAAGGCGGUGAGCCCGGAAGAACGCGGCACGCACCAACCGUCGGCCAAGAAGCUCAACGGGUCGUGCUUCGAUGCGCCGCCGCAGUCGGCGAAUGGCUGGCAGGCCGUGGCGUCCGUGCUGGGCGGCCUCAACCAUCACAUGCUUCCUCAGUUCUAA
rnacentral:rRNA from 1 species